rnacentral:tRNA from 1 species
AGCCCUGUGGUGUAAUUGGCAACAUCCCGCCCUUUGAAGGCGAAGACUCCAGGUUCGACCCCUGGCAGGGCUGCCA